UUGCUUGGUGCACAGCCUGCACCGGAAGGACACUGUUGACAUCCCGGAUGCAUCAUCUGCGGCUGCGCCAUGGACCACAUCCGGUCCCAAUCUGACUCGGAAACCUCAGGGAUGCUUUGAUGUGCACCUGACACUGUCUUUCAGAGCUCUGUUUUUUGACACUGCUUGCUACACUGAACUUGAUGUUGCCAUCUCGUCUGUCUGCAUGAAAAGGGAAUGUAGCGUGCGCACAGGAGAGGCAGCGUGGAUCUCAAACUCCAAAGAUGAUGAAACAGAGCCCACACCUGGACCGACUGAGAAGGUCUGGCACCACAGUGACAAGCCGGCACCACCCGACUUGAAGGGCUCCGCAGGUCGCUACCCUGCGCGUUUUGAGGGGAGUCCUCAGCGGACAGAAAACUGGAGGAUCAGAGGAGUUUUCCCUUCCCCAGCAGCCUCAGCACAAGACGAGAUUUGUGCAAACGAGACCCAGAUGAAAGGAGCUGGGUAAUGAAGUUCAGUUCCUCCUCACCCCGGCACAAUGAUUAGUUUAUUACCUUUCAGCUCCAAGUUUUCUUUCAUGCUCUGCAGCGAAGCCCAGACUCCAGCUUCUUUUGCAGCAAGCAUGGCACUAAACUUGUCAGUAGAGGGCGCUGGAGGGACAUUGCCGAAGGAAACAGUUUCUCUCCCUGGCUCCUGAGAGCUGCCGGGUUUUGCUUCCUCCCAGAGCAGGUUUGAUCCAGCCACGCAUCCGGACUGUGCAGUCUCAGCCCAGGAGCCGCCUCUCUCUGGCCUUCCCGAUGAGGGCGCAGGUGUCCUGUUAUCCCGCAACCCUGCCAACAAAUUCCCUCCCAGACCCCCACACCCUCAGUGCCAGCCCCAAGGCCCGCUUGCACCGCAGUGGUGAUGCUCCGAGAGCUCUUGCGCAGCGCCCUUCACCGUCCUUUGGGCUCCCGGUGCGUCUUCCCUGGUGCCUGUGAAUCCUACCCUCAGGAAACUGCUCUCCACGGUGCCGCUUCCCUGGGUCCUGUCCUAAAUCCUCUCCGCUCAUGCCCCCUCAGACGGGGGCAUCAGCUAAUACCAGCUGUUGGUUUUUGUAAAUAAAGAUUUAU
rnacentral:lncRNA from 1 species